GAACCUGCGGAAGGAUCAUUGUCGAAACCUCGAUCGGAACGAACGACUCGCGAACGCGUUAACGAAACGGAGGGGACGGCCCGCGCCGUGCGAGACGCCUCCGCAUCGCGUCCGCCCCCUCGAGCGCCGUCCCGACGUCGUCGUGAGGCGGCUCCCUCGACUUACGUGGGACGCCCGUCGAGCGACGGCGAUGGGCGCGGCAUCGCAACCGAACCCGGGCGCAAGUCGCGCCAAGGAAAAUCGAUAUACAACCUACGCCCUCCGCGUCCCCCGGGGCGACGCGGGCGGGCGUUGUGUCGUUGAAUGCGUGAGAGAUGACUCUCGGCAACGGAUAUCUAGGCUCUCGCAUCGAUGAAGAACGUAGCGAAAUGCGAUACUUGGUGUGAAUUGCAGAAUCCCGUGAACCAUCGAGUCUUUGAACGCAAGUUGCGCCCGAGGCCACUACGGUCGAGGGCACGUCUGUCUGGGCGUCGCAUGCAGCGUCACCUCGCGCCUUCUCCCUGCGGUAGGUGUCGGUGGAGCAUGGCCUCCCGUGUCCACGUUACGACGCGGUUGGCCCAAAUGGGAAGCUCGUGGCAACGAAUGCCGUGACGAUGGGUGGUCGGCGAGGCCGAAAGGCACGGUUACGACGUCUCGUCAUCCCAUCAUUGCCCGUCGCUCGUUUCGAUCCCGGACCGCCGCCACGGCGGGACACGAGGCGACCCCAGAUCAGUCGGGGUCACCCGCUGAGUUUAAGCAUAUCAAUAAGCGG
rnacentral:rRNA from 1 species